AGAGCGAACGCUGGCGGCGUGCUUAACACAUGCAAGUCGAACGCGCAGCAUUCUGUAGCAAUACAGGGUGUGGGCGCGUGGCGAACGGGUGCGUAACACGUGGAUAACCUUCCUUGAGGUGGGAAUAACCCAGUGAAAAUUGGGCUAAUACCGCAUAACAUCGCGAUGGCACAUGCUGAUGCGAUCAAAGGCGCAAGUCGCCACAAGAGGGAUCCGCGGCCGAUUAGCUUGUGGCGAGGUAAUGGCUCACCAAGGCAAUGAUCGGUA
rnacentral:rRNA from 1 species